AAGAAGAGAGUGGAGAAAAAGAAAAAAGAUAAUACUUCAAAUUCAAAUUGUAUUCUAUUUGACAAAGCACGAAUGCUGGUUACUGUAUGAAAGAACGUUUCUUCCUCCUUUGUUCAUUCUUUUCUUUUCUUUUUU
rnacentral:ribozyme from 1 species